UACGUAGGGUGCGAGCGUUGUCCGGAAUUACUGGGCGUAAAGCGCGCGCAGGCGGCCUUUCAAGUCAGGGGUGAAAUCCCAGAGCUCAACUCUGGAAUUGCCUCUGAGACUGUGAGGCUUCGAGUACGGGAGAGGUGAGUGGAAUUCCCAGUGUAGAGGUGAAAUUCGUAGAUAUUGGGAAGAACACCGGUGGCGAAGGCGGCUCACUGGCCCGUUACUGACGCUCAGGCGCGACAGCGUGGGGAUCAAACAGG
rnacentral:rRNA from 1 species